rnacentral:tRNA from 1 species
AUGGCUGAGCGGUAAAGCUCUUGGCUACCAAACAGGGGACCGGGGUUCGAAUCCUAGU